GUUUGAGAUAGAGAAUCUAUUCUAUCUUAACCUGUUUUGACACCAAAAAAUGCAGUGAAGUUAUUUCUAGAAAAGAAAUAGGAAAAUUUUUUAAGAGUUGAGUCGUUCAUUACUGAAAAUUGUAUUUCAUACCUACAAUUAUAUAUUGUGGGGGACUCUAACAGGGUCGUUCAAUGGAAAAAAGUAAGAAUAAGAAAAUGAGAGUGAUCCAGAUUUAUCACAGCUAUAGAAGAAUUUCAAUAUUGGACUCAACUCAAAGGUUCAGACUGUAUGUACGAUUUAUCUGAUCUUAUAACUAGUUAGAAUUUUUUUUUCUAGUAAAUCAUGAAUUUGUCUCGGACAGUAUUAAAAAUCUUAUCGAAAGCUUACGGUAGCUUGCCAAACAAAAGCUAAUAGAAAAAAGAAUAGAGGUAUUACUGGCAUAACAUCUACUAUUGGAUUCAAAAAAGCGUAGGCCUCAGGCAAUUUGGCGACGAAAAAACUACUUGAAUAAAG